UCUCCUACCGGUGGCAGCAGUGGGAAUCUUGUUCAAUGGGCGAAAGCGUGAUCCAGCAAGCCGCGCGGGGAAGAAGGCAUUCGGGUGUAAAGCCAUUUGUCUGGGGGAAUCCACCCUUAACACCGUGGGAAUGACGUACUCGAAGAAUAGCACCGCUAA
rnacentral:rRNA from 1 species